rnacentral:lncRNA from 1 species
AAGAAAUUUAAGCAGUAACUGUGAAUGGAAAUUUAUAAAAUCUGAAAACACCCAAAAAUAGAAUUAAAAUCUAACCUAAUCACGUAUCAACUAACUCNGUAAACAAAUNAUCUAUUACUAUCAAAACAAAUCAAAAUAUAGGAAAUGAAAACUUCUACUGGAAAUGGAUAUACAAAGAAAAUCAUAAAAGAGAGAACCAAACCCGCAAGAAACUCA